UACGUAGGGGGCAAGCGUUGUCCGGAAUCAUUGGGCGUAAAGAGCGUGUAGGCGGCUCGAUAAGUCCGCUGUGAAAGUCCAGGGCUCAACCCUGGAAGGCCGGUGGAAACUGUCGGGCUAGAGUCCGGAAGAGGCGAGUGGAAUUCCCGGUGUAGCGGUGAAAUGCGCAGAUAUCGGGAGGAACACCAAUGGCGAAGGCGGGUCUCUGGGACGGUACUGACGCUGAGACGCGAAAGCCAGGGGAGCAAACGGG
rnacentral:rRNA from 1 species